GCAAACUUCCGUCGAUCAUCCGAUGAACCCUUGGUGAUGCUCCUGCGGACUUCCGGCAAACUCCUGGACUUGCGGCGAUCCACUUGGCGAGUUCCGACGAGCUUCUUUUGGCAAGCUCUUGGACUUCUCGGAUUUGUUCUCGCAGAACCUUCGACGAUCGUCCAAACUUCCGUCGAACUCUCAAACUCCCAACGUGAUCAUAG
rnacentral:lncRNA from 1 species